UCUGAACAAAUUCCUUCAACCUUACAUCUAUUUGUAAGGUUGAAGGAAUUUGUUCAGACU
rnacentral:precursor_RNA from 1 species